rnacentral:misc_RNA from 1 species
UUUCCGUAGGUGAACCUGCGGAAGGAUCAUUAAUGAGACUUUUUGCCGCAAGGCAAGAUGUUUCCGUUCUCAUGUCAAACUUAACUCAGUUGCUUUCGGCGGAGGCGUUUGCUGGUGACAGCAGACCGCCGUCGGUGUACCCCUUUUUUACAACCUAACGAAUACUUGGAAGUCUGCCUGGAAACAGAAGAAAAUCUAUACAAAACUUUCAACAACGGAUCUCUUGGCUCUGGCAUCGAUGAAGAACGCAGC